rnacentral:rRNA from 1 species
AGCUCCAAUAGCGUAUAUUAAAGUUGUUGCAGUUAAAAAGCUCGUAGUUGUACUUGUGGCGUGCUUUGGGCUCCCGACCCAAUUGGGUUCUGGUGUGGCCUGGGGCUGCCAUCCUUGGGUGGAAUCUGUGUGGCAUUAGGUUGUUGUGCAGGGGAAACCCAUCAUUUACUGUGAAAAAAUUAGAGUGUUCAAAGCAGGCUUAUGCCGCUGAAUAUAUUAGCAUGGAAUAAUGAGAUAGGACAUUGGUACUAUUUUGUUGGUUUGCGCACCAAUGUAAUGGUUAAUAGGGACAGUUGGGGGUAUAGGUAUUCCAUUGUCAGAGGUGAAAUUCUUGGAUCUUUGGAAGACCAGCUACUGCGAAAGCAUUUACCAAGGAUGUUUUCAUUAAUCAAGAACGAAA